UCACUGUCAUGGCUAAGAAAGCAACUCCAACCCACACACUGCAAAUGUGAAGGACCAAGAAAGGUGUGCAGGCUCUGGUUUGCGUAGUGAAGAUGAGCGACCGUGUUCCUAAGCAUGAAGGAGGACCACAUGAGGAUCCUGGACACCUACUGCAUGAAUGUAUUAGCCCUUUCAGGUCUAGGGACCUGGGUACCUUGGGAAAGAGGGAGUGCAGAGCAGAGAAAACCGGCCUGUGCAACUGAGAAGGCCACUCAGGCCACAGGGACAGGGCAGGAACGCUCUCAGGAGUGUCCCCUGCACCUGAACUUGAUUUCACCCCAUCGCCUUCCGCCUCUUAACCAGCAUCUCCUGGACAGUCAGCCGAGGGUUUCCAUGGUACCAGCCAUACCUGAUGCCAGGAGACUCACUACACUUGGAAGCUCUUCAAGAUGUGUAUUGAAUUUGCAGAAGGCCUCUUUUCCAAAUGAUCAAUGAAUUUCAACACCAGAGUCUUUGAGUCAGACAAGGAAACUUUCAGUUUAACAGCCUCCCAGGAUGUCAACUGGAAGAUCAUGCCAUUCCUGACAAUUAGAAGAGGAGUUCCCUGUGCAAGGGAAGAACAUGGUAGGGUUAAUGCUACACGGAACAUGAACUUUGAAGAUCCUCAUUUUGGUUUCCAUGAAAGUGGCGAAGGUUCUCCAAAUAAAAGCAUUUCCAAUAAGGGUGAAGAGUAGAGAGCAGUGAUGUUUCCAAAAAGUUUAGAAUUCCUCCUUCAAAUGACUUCCUAAUGAAUAUCAGAAGGCAAUGUGUAGAGUCACAAGUCAUUGGAAUGGCACCCACUGUGUAAUUUCAACAAAACACUUCAUCCCUCUUAGCCUCUGGUGGCUCAUCUGUAAAUUAAGGCAAAUUCUAUCUUCAAAUUUCAUCACUCUUUGAUUAACAACUUUUAUUCAACUUUGUUGAAAAGAACAAAAUUGCA
rnacentral:lncRNA from 1 species